rnacentral:rRNA from 1 species
UGGGGAAUUUUGGACAAUGGGCGAAAGCCUGAUCCAGCAAUGCCGCGUGUGUGAAGAAGGCCUUCGGGUUGUAAAGCACUUUUGUCCGGAAAGAAAUCCUUGGCUCUAAUACAGUCGGGGGAUGACGGUACCGGAAGAAUAAGCACCGGCUAACUACGUGCCAGCAGCCGCGGUAAUACGUAGGGUGCAAGCGUUAAUCGGAAUUACUGGGCGUAAAGCGUGCGCAGGCGGUUUGCUAAGACCGAUGUGAAAUCCCCGGGCUCAACCUGGGAACUGCAUUGGUGACUGGCAGGCUAGAGUAUGGCAGAGGGGGGUAGAAUUCCACGUGUAGCAGUGAAAUGCGUAGAGAUGUGGAGGAUACCGAUGGCGAAGGCAGCCCCCUGGGCCAAUACUGACGCUCAUGCACGAAAGCGUGGGGAGCAAAACAGGAUUAGAUACCCUGGUAGUCCACGCCCUAAACGAUGUCAACUAGUUGUUGGGGAUUCAUUUCCUUAGUAACGUAGCUAACGCGUGAAGUUGACCGCCUGGGGAGUACGGUCGCAAAGAUUAAAACUCAAAGGAAUUGACGGGGUCAUAGCUGUUUCCU